CACUCUAGAGAUAGAGUUUUCCUCUUCGGAGGACAAAAUGACAGGUGGUGCAUGGUUGUCGUCAGCUCGUGUCGUGAGAUGUUGGGUUAAGUCCCGCAACGAGCGCAACCCUUGAGCUUAGUUGCCAUCAUUAAGUUGGGCACUCUAAGUUGACUGCCGGUGACAAACCGGAGGAAGGUGGGGAUGACGUCAAAUCAUCAUGCCCCUUAUGAUUUGGGCUACACACGUGCUACAAUGGACAAUACAAAGGGCAGCGAAACCGCGAGGUCAAGCAAAUCCCAUAAAGUUGUUCUCAGUUCGGAUUGUAGUCUGCAACUCGACUACAUGAAGCUGGAAUCGCUAGUAAUCGUAGAUCAGCAUGCUACGGUGAAUACGUUCCCGGGUCUUGUACACACCGCCCGUCACACCACGAGAGUUUGUAACACCCGAAGCCGGUGGAGUAACCAUUUGGAGCUAGCCGUCGAAGGUGGGACAAAUGAUUGGGGUGAAGUCGUAACAAGGUAGCCGUAUCGGAAGGUGCGGCUGGAUCACCUCCUUUCUAAGGA
rnacentral:rRNA from 1 species